CGCAGUGCGGGUGCUAUACAUGCAGUCGAGCGGACCGACGGGAGCUUGCUCCCUUAGGUCAGCGGCGGACGGGUGAGUAACACGUGGGUAACCUGCCUGUAAGACUGGGAUAACUCCGGGAAACCGGGGCUAAUACCGGAUGCUUGAUUGAACCGCAUGGUUCAAUCAUAAAAGGUGGCUUUUAGCUACCACUUACAGAUGGACCCGCGGCGCAUUAGCUAGUUGGUGAGGUAACGGCUCACCAAGGCGACGAUGCGUAGCCGACCUGAGAGGGUGAUCGGCCACACUGGGACUGAGACACGGCCCAGACUCCUACGGGAGGCAGCAGUAGGGAAUCUUCCGCAAUGGACGAAAGUCUGACGGAGCAACGCCGCGUGAGUGAUGAAGGUUUUCGGAUCGUAAAACUCUGUUGUUAGGGAAGAACAAGUACCGUUCGAAUAGGGCGGUACCUUGACGGUACCUAACCAGAAAGCCACGGCUAACUACGUGCCAGCAGCCGCGGUAAUACGUAGGUGGCAAGCGUUGUCCGGAAUUAUUGGGCGUAAAGCGCGCGCAGGCGGUUUCUUAAGUCUGAUGUGAAAGCCCCCGGCUCAACCGGGGAGGGUCAUUGGAAACUGGGGAACUUGAGUGCAGAAGAGGAGAGUGGAAUUCCACGUGUAGCGGUGAAAUGCGUAGAGAUGUGGAGGAACACCAGUGGCGAAGGCGACUCUCUGGUCUGUAACUGACGCUGAGGCGCGAAAGCGUGGGGAGCGAACAGGAUUAGAUACCCUGGUAGUCCACGCCGUAAACGAUGAGUGCUAAGUGUUAGAGGGUUUCCGCCCUUUAGUGCUGCAGCAAACGCAUUAAGCACUCCGCCUGGGGAGUACGGUCGCAAGACUGAAACUCAAAGGAAUUGACGGGGGCCCGCACAAGCGGUGGAGCAUGUGGUUUAAUUCGAAGCAACGCGAAGAACCUUACCAGGUCUUGACAUCCUCUGACAACCCUAGAGAUAGGGCUUCCCCUUCGGGGCAGAGUGACAGGGGUGCAUGGUUGUCGUCAGCUC
rnacentral:rRNA from 1 species